UAGCUCUGUUUAUCGUAGUCGGCAGCUACAAUUUUUGUAGCAUCUUGAUUAUCUUCAUAUGAAGAAUAACAAAUAGCCAUUCAUGAAUUUGAAAAAGAAAAAAGGACGAUCUUCUGGAAGAGAGAAGCGAAAACUUUACAAAAUGCUUCAAAGAAAUUUAAAAAAUUUGAUAAGGCUCCGCUGGAAUUGAAAUACACAUGGUGGAAGAGUUCAUUAAAAAAAAUGUACAGAUAACAGUCGCCAAUCCAAAACCUUUACUCAAAAUUGUCCAGCUGCUGUCUCCAGAUAAACAAUUUUUGCAGAU